UACGGAGGGGGCAAGCGUUAUUCGGAAUUAUUGGGCGUAAAGGGCGCGUAGGCGGCUAGAUGUGUCAAAGGUGAAAUCCCUCGGCUCAACUGAGGAACUGCCUUUGAAACUGUCUGGCUUGAGGCCGGGAGAGGGUAGCGGAAUUCCCAGUGUAGCGGUGAAAUGCGUAGAUAUUGGGAGGAACACCAGUGGCGAAGGCGGCUACCUGGACCGGUUCUGACGCUGAGGAGCGAAAGCAUGGGGAGCAAACAGG
rnacentral:rRNA from 1 species